CAGUUCUUUCCUUGUUCAACAACAAAAAGUGAGCACAGAAGGUACCCAAAACCACCAUGAAAAGACGCUUGGGGUAAUGUCCUAACAGUUACCGCUGUUAAACAAGACUGAUCUAGGAAGGUACAGUGUGGUCAGUACGACAUAUUUCCGAGCCAUGUCAAUAAUGCAAAGGAGAACGUACUAUCUCCGAAGAAGAAAAGAACUGAGCAUUUCCUGCAUAUUCCUACCCUCAACACUGACGUGCAACAUUAUGAAAAAUAAGUUUCAUGGUGACAACACAUCAGUAGCAUAGAGGAUGAUAGAGGGAAAUAUGUGAAAUAAUGUGCAAUAGGAAGAUCGGGGGGUCUACAAAAGGUAUUUCCUUUCUGUUGAAAAUGAAAAGACGCUGGUCAAAUAUAAAACACCCCAAAAAGUAACAAGGAAUUCAUAGAACAUCUGAAAAAACUCUGUAAGCAUACCUUUGUAAACAUAAAAACACAUUAAAAUCUUUGUAAGAUUUUAGGAGCUAAUAAAAACAUUUGCUACUUUGAAA